AAGAUUCCUCCUCUGUGGAGUUUCCCCUGGGAACCUUGAUCCUUGGAGAUGGCACCAGUUAGGGGCGUCUGGAAACAUUUCAGUACGUACUCCAAGAAAUAUCAGUGAAUGCAACUGUGAAGUGAUGAUGAUGAAAGCAGCUAUAUCAGUCCCUGCAUGGCUCAGGCAGUGUGGCUCCGGACCACAGCCUCUAUGUCUUGGGAUGGGAACACGUGUGUGACAUAGGAAGGAAGCAUGCUGUGUCAAGACAGCUAAGAAAGAAGGCAUCAUUUCAGAUCUGGUCUAAAUCACCAUUCCCAGAAUAAAAAAAAAAAAAAAAAUGAAAUUACACAAAGUUGCUCAGGGUAAGUGUGAAUGGGUACGUAUGCAUGUGUGGCAGAGAGAUGAGAAGACAAUUUUAUACAGAAAUAAGAUCUGCUUAUCCCUUCCCUGUAUUUUUAGUUUAAAUUACACCCAAAUGCCAUCUGAUCAAUUUGGCUGAAAUGAGCCCUUAAUCCUAAUAAAUCUUGAUCAUCUUUUGAGACCUUGGGAAGCAGCAGAGAAUGUGUUUGUGUAAAGCAUUAACACCUUGAUUCCAGCUACCUCGUCGUGUAUCCUACUCACAGGUGUGCAGAAAUGCAGCUGGUAAUGUCAAAUGAGAUAUUGGAGAGAGAGAGACAAAGGAAUGCUUUUGCCUGCUUUGUCCCCACACAUCAUCUCUGAUGGGAUUCACGUUCUCAACACGUGCUUCCACCUGUGCUGCGACAGAGAUUUAGCUCAGGAUAAAAUUCUCAGUUUUCUUUAAAUCUUUGGAGGAAGAAAAGAGCCUCAAUCUGCUCGUUAUUCCUCAAACUUAGAACAAUCCUGCCAACUUAAAUACAUUUUCAGGGGGAUUUAUAAAUACUGAGCUUGGCAAAGGGUGGUGUUUCAGAGAAAUGCUGCUCCAAAUUAGCCCAGUGGUGUAAAUCAAGAUGUAUUCAUUUGAAUACAGGCAUGAUUAUUUCUCCCAGCUGAGCAUUUGAUGGGGGGCUUUCUCUCAUAACCUGCCUGUUGUCCUUUGGGUUCAUCGUGAUGCUGAGAGCUGCCUGUGGUGUGUGAGCUCUUCUCUCCCUGAUGGCAGAGGAAAGGUGCAGAGGGAUCCUGAAGGUGGUAGCAUUGCCAUUGCUAACUGACAGCAGCAGUGAGAGCAUCUGAAAGAAAGGAUGGUGCUGAAGAUGCCCUGCAGAGAUUGGCUCAGGGAGAGCAUUCUUGCAACUGGCUUUGAAAAUAGGAACAAAAUGAGCAGUGCUGAACUUCCUAUACUGGGAAAUAAAGCAGUGAAAAGAGAAUGGAAGUUAGCUUUGCAGCGUGCUGUGCAGCCCAGUGCUUAACAGUGCAGGUCAGCUGGGUGGGAGGCUGUGUUCAGAUCUUUCUACUCUUGAAAAUCUGCAUAUAGAUUCCAUGGGGAGUGUGCUCUUGUGGGUUCUUAAUGCCUACAGAUGCGUGGGAGUUGGGUUUCUCUCCUGGGGUGCACUUGAAUGAAUGCACUGAUCCCACGGUCUUGAGCAGUCUGGCCUCCAGCUUCUGCACGUUUCUCUGUAGGACAAACCUUUGGAGCUCCACCCUACAGCACCUUGUUAUUCCUGGAGCACUGCAUAGAUCCUGAACGUGGCUGUACAGGCAUCCCUCCGCUUGCCAGCAUUUUCCAUAUGAGGGCCUUGCUAUGACUAAACACAGUUUUAUAAGUCCCAUGGCAUCCAGCUAUAAAUAAGAAGAUCAAAGCCUUGACCCUUGGAAACUAACUGUGACCUCAUCAUUGAGCAACCGUGCCCCAAAGACUGUAUUAAGCUGGAAGGGAACAUAAAUCUAGGAGGAACUAAUGAAGACCCCCAGGGCCACCCUUCUCUAUAGCUGUCUUGUUAACAUGAUCUAGGAAAGACAGGGGGCCCUUAAAUAAAACAAAAAAAAAACCAGAGGUAAUAAGUGACUCAUCAAAGUCAGGCACAGACAGAGUAUUGUCAAGGAGGUGCUGCAGCAUGGGAUGAAGUACUGCACAACUUUACAACCCAGCCUCGCUGCCAAAGGGGGCUAGGGAGCAGUUAGCCCUCUAAAGCUUGGGCAACCUUCACGGCCCAUGGAAAUAUGUGCCAUUCUUACAGGCAAUGGAAGGUCCCAUCCUGUCACCCAUCCCUCUUCUUACUGACAAGAGCGUGCAGACCCCUGCAGGUGGGACUCAAAGCCUUUUGCUGAGGAAGGUGGUGAUGACAACCGUGAUGGAGGAUGGGGUGGCUGCGCCAGGACAAUGGUUCUGGUGGGGAUGCUCCUUGCAGGAAGCCCAGGCAAUCAGGACCAUCUGCCUGCGGGAACAGCAGGGCAGGACUGGAUGCAGCACUGAGCUUCAGGUCCCUAGGCUUGCAUGUCCUUGCUCUUGACCUUACAAAAUGACUGGCAGAUGGAUGGGAAAAUUGCACAAAACGAUAGAGUUGGGUAAUGAUUUUAAAACCGUUUCCAAGCCUGAUGCUUCAUCACAGUUCUCAGAUGCUACAGAAGAGAAUUGUGCUGGCUUUCCAGGUAAUGCAGAUGCUGAUUUCCCCUAAAACUGUAUUUUGGCUGCUCACAAUGACUUGGUGUCCCAGCUGCCACUGGGGAUCCCAAUGGCACCAGGAGCCAGGUGGGCUCCCAUUGUGCCCAUCCGCCAACGAGGACAAUGUGCCAGGAACAGAUUAAAUCUCACAUCAGAGACCUCGGGAGCCCUGGUAGCAGCCUGUCCCCCUCACUAAUCCUAUUCUCUAUUAAUUUGUUAUCCCAUUAACACCUUGCACAUUUCUUUCUCUCACCACUGCGCUAUCCUUAGAGACUGCUGGGGAUCCUGUAAUAUGCUAUUUUGUUGUUACGAGUGUAAGCCAGCAAACUCUCCUCAUCUUAGCCUAGAAAUCCCUUGAUAGAAAGAAAGAAAACUGCUGCUUUGUUUCUUUCAAUCAAUACUAUCCAUUAAGAUCUGUGUCUAACAGCUCCGAGUCCAAGUGAGUAACAGAAUGAGCUACCUCCUGCUCUCUUAAACCUUUGGAAACAGUAAAUGCUCUUCUGAAAAGAACAAUUUGAUAUUGCAGCCCUGUCUGGACCAGGCGGGGGGGGGGCAGCUUUCUUCUCUGAGGUUUGAAAACAAAAUUGCUCACGAUUUUCAUAGAGAACCAGAGGGCAGAGAGAAGCAUGGAGGGAGCCGAAAUGGGGGGUGAGACAUCAGCUGGGGUCAGCCUGCCCCCCAGUGUCUGUAUACCAGUGUGUCAGAAUGCACAGGGAGCAUGAGGCAUAAAAUCCCCAGAUUGAGCUGUUGGUGGUGGAAUCUGUGCAAUUUCAUGUAUUCGGGAGCAGUUCUGCGCAUCCACAGCCCCAGUGCUGCUGGGACACAACGAGAGCAAAAGAGCUCAGCCAAAGCCCUGGAGCUCCAUUUACAGAGCAUCGUGGUCAGAUAUCUUCUUCUCCUUCCCAUCUUCUGGAUGUCUGAGUCCAGCAGACACGAAGUUGUCCUUGUGCCUAUUAAUACUGGUGCAAUCAAUACCAAGCAAUCAAAAGCAGCGCUGAUGCUGGUGCUUCUUUUCUCUUGGUGGCCCAGAAGCAAUAUUUCAGCCGCAAGCAGGGAACUUGGCUUUGAAAGACCGAGUCAGUAGGUUAUGGUGGCAAACCCUUUGGGGAAUCCCAUAAGGAAACCAUAUAUGUAGCCCCCAAGAGCAUUGGCAGAGGAACUCUUGGUAGAGUUAGGCAAAUACUCAUACACUGUGCAGGCAUUUGCAACAAAGCAUGUCUCCCCGCUGACAUUUAAGAGAGAAGAUCCAUCUAGAUAUGGGCUAAAAGAGUGAUGACAAACGGAGAGAGCUUGGUCCUUAGAAAAACAUCCCUGAAGCAGAAACUGCUGCAGCGUUUUGCAAAGCAUGGAGCUAUGAAAUGGUUCUCCUUCCCCACCUGACACCCAGGGUGCAUGCCACUGAGUUAGCAGUAACCGAAAGUGCUCCGGGAAUGUGAUCUGUGUUCAUCAAUGAUUUGAAGGUUCAUCAGUUCGCCUCAAUGUGAUCAAUACUUUAUUAUUCCACCGAUCGAUCCCUGCUUUGUUUGUGAACUUUACCCAAUUGAUA